rnacentral:rRNA from 1 species
UGAAAUCUGGCCGUGCCGCGGUCCGAGUUGUAAUUUGUAGAGGAUGCUUCGGGUGCGGCGCCGGUCUAAGUUCCUUGGAACAGGACGUCAUAGAGGGUGAGAAUCCCGUACGCGACCGGCGACCCAGCCCGUGUGAAGCUCCUUCGACGAGUCGAGUUGUUUGGGAAUGCAGCUCUAAAUGGGUGGUAAAUUUCAUCUAAAGCUAAAUACCGGCCAGAGACCGAUAGCGCACAAGUAGAGUGAUCGAAAGAUGAAAAGCACUUUGGAAAGAGAGUUAAAAAGUACGUGAAAUUGUUGAAAGGGAAGCGCUUGCAAUCAGACUUGCUCACGGGCGAUCAGCCGUCCUUCUGGGCGGUGCACUCGCCCGCGGUCAGGCCAGCAUCGGUUCGGGCGGUUGGAUAAAGGCCCGGGGAAUGUGGCUCCCUCCGGGGAGUGUUAUAGCCCGGGGUGCAAUGCGGCCAGCCUGGACCGAGGACCGCGCUCCGGCUAGGAUGCUGGCGUAAUGGUCGCAAGCGACCCGUCUUGAAACACGGACCAAGGAGUCUAACAUCUAUGCGAGUGUUUGGGUGUCAAACCCAUGCGCGCAAUGAAAGUGAACGGAGGUGGGAACCCUCAAGGGCGCACCAUCGACCGAUCCUGAUGUCUUCGGAUGGAUUUGAGUACGAGCAUAGCUGUUGGGACCCGAAAGAUGGUGAACUAUGCCUGAAUAGGGUGAAGCCAGAGGAAACUCUGGUGGAGGCUCGCAGCGGUUCUGACGUGCAAAUCGAUCGUCAAAUUUGGGUAUAGGGGCGAAAGACUAAUCGAACCAUCG